UACAGAGGGUGCAAGCGUUGUUCGGAAUUAUUGGGCGUAAAGCGCGCGUAGGCGGCCUGCUAAGUCGAACGUGAAAUCCCCGGGCUCAACCCGGGAACUGCGUCCGAUACUGGUGGGCUUGAAUCCGGGAGAGGGAUGUGGAAUUCCAGGUGUAGCGGUGAAAUGCGUAGAUAUCUGGAGGAACACCGGUGGCGAAGGCGGCAUCCUGGACCAACACUGACGCUGAGGAGCGAAAGCCAGGGGAGCAAACGGG
rnacentral:rRNA from 1 species